ACCGAUAGUGAACUAGUACCGUGAGGGAAAGGUGAAAAGAACCCCGAGAGGGGAGUGAAAUAGAACUGAAACCAUAAACCUACAAACCGUGGGAGCUUGUAUUUAUAUGAGUGACCGCGUGCCUAUUGAAGAAUGAGCCAACGAGUUACUUGGUACGGCAAGAUUAAGAAGUUAAGCUUUGAAGUCGAAGCGAAAGCAAGUCUGAAUAGGGCGAAUUAGUCGUGUCAAGUAGACCCGAAACCGUGUGAGCUACCUAUGGCCAGGUUGAAGCGAGAGUAAAAUCUUGUGAAGGACCGAACCCGUGUACGCUGCAAAGUGCUGGGAUGAGCUGUGGGUAGAGGUAAAAUGCCAAACGAACACGGAGAUAGCUGGUUCUCUCCGAAAUGUAUUUAGGUACAGCGUUAUGUAAUACUUCAUGGAGGUAGAGCACUGGAUAGACUAGGGGGCGCAAGCUUACCAAACCUAACCAAACUCCGAAUACCAUGAAGGGUAUCAUAGCAGUGAGACUGUGGGGGAUAAGCUCCAUUGUCGAAAGGGAAACAGCCCAGAUCGCAAGUUAAGGUCCCUAAGUAUAUGCUAAGUGUUAAACGAAGUAGGGUCGCCCAGACAGCCAGGAGGUUGGCUUAGAAGCAGCCAUCCUUUAAAGAGUGCGUAAUAGCCCACUGGUCAAGGGGCCCCGCACGGAAAAUAAACGGGGCUAAGCAUAUCACCGAGACUGCGGGAUCUAUUUAUAGAUCGGUAGGAGAGUGUCGUUAAAGCAUUGAAGCUAAGCUGUAAGGCUUGGUGGAGUUUUAACAAGUAAGAAUGUUGGCAUGAGUAGCAAAAAUGCCGGUGAGAAUCCGGCAGGCCGUAAGUCUAAGGAUUCCUACGCAACGUUGAUCGGCGUAGGGUUAGUCGGUCCUAAGGCGUAUCCGAAAGGAAAAGUCGAUGGACAGCUGGUGAAUAUUCCAGCACCUAUAAUUAAUUGUUUGAGUCAAAGGGGUGACGCAGAAAGAUAAACAGAGCAUACGUACUGGACAUCGUGUGUUUUUGCCUGUAGAUGAGUAGAGAAGGUUAAAAUAUUUUCUACGUUUGAAUUGAGGGGUGAGAAAACUAUGAGGUUCGCCUCGUAGAAUUCUGUCGACUCUAAACUGCCAAGAAAAGCCUCGUUGAUUAGAUUUUUCAUAGACCGUACCGCAAACCAACACAGGUAGACAGGGAUAAACGUCCCAAGGCCAUCGAGAGAACCAUCGUUAAGGAACUCGGCAAAUUGACCCCGUAACUUAGGGAGAAGGGGGACCUUCUGUGUAUAUGAGUUUACCUCAAAAAGCGUGGAAGGUAGCAUAAAAUAGGCUGAAGCGACUGUUUACCAAAAACACAGGUCCAUGCCAAAGCGAAAGCUGAUGUAUAUGGGCUGACGCCUGCCCAGUGCCGGUAGGUUAAGGAAAGUUGUGCAAGCAACUGACUGAAGCCCCGGUGAACGGCGGCCGUAACUAUAACGGUCCUAAGGUAGCGAAGUCCCUUGUCGGGUAAGUUCCGACCCGCACGAAUGGCGUAACGACUUCAGCACUGUCUCAACGAUGGACUCGGUGAAAUUGCAGGACCGGUAAAGAUGCCGGUUACGCGCAGCAGGACAAAAAGACCCCGUGGAGCUUUACUGCAACUUGGCAUUGGUUCGAGUUUUAAAAUGUGUAGGAUAGGCGGGAGACUUUGAACUCUAGGCGUCAGCCUAGGGGGAGUCGCCCUUGAAAUACCGCCCUUUUUAUGAUUUGGACCUAACACUUUUGGACAGUGUCUGGUGGGCAGUUUGACUGGGGCGGUCGCCUCCCAAAGAGUAACGGAGGCGUACAAAGGUCACCUCAGGCUGGAUGGAAAUCAGCUUUUGAGUGCAUUGGCAUAAGGUGGCUUGACUGCGAGACAUACAAGUCGAGCAGGGACGAAAGUCGGUCAAAGUGAUCCCACGGUUCCGAGUGGAAGGGCCGUGGCUUAACGGAUAAAAGCUACCCCGG
rnacentral:rRNA from 1 species